AGAAUCUAAUGCAAAAAGAAAGAACUCAAAUGUAACUUGAGUAUUUAAUAUAUAGAAAUAGGCACAGAUAUAUACAUAUACAUGUACACACAUAUAUAAUCAUUCAUAUUCAACUUCCAUGAACAUAUGGUACCUGACUUUGAAAAGUUGCAGAUUUUAUUGCUUUUCCUAACUAAAUUAUUAAUCGAUGCUUAAUUGUGGCCUCCAAUUAGUCUUUCAAUUUCUUCAUCAAAAAUGCUCAUAAAAGCACUAAAGAUGUCCACAGAAUAGGCAAAACUUGAAAAACCAAAACCUGUACUAGAUACACAAUAUGUGCUGUUUCAGGAGUAAUUAUAUCCAUUUUCAGGCACAAACGCAAUGAGUCAUACAGCAGGCAGAAGAGCCCCUGUUAUGGUUUGACUGUGUCCUUACCCAAAUCUCAACUUGAAUUGUAUCUUCCAGAAUUCCUACAUGUUGUGGGAGGGACCUGGGGGAGAUAAUUUAAUCAUGGGGGCCGGUCUUUCCUGUGCAAUUCUGAUAGUGAGUAAGUCUCACAAGAUCUGAUGGGUUUAUCAGGGGUUUCCGCUUUUGCUGCUUCCUCCACAUUUUCUCUUGCCACUGCCACAUACGAAGUGCCUUUAGACUCCUGCCAUGAUUCUGAGGCCUCCCCAGCCAUGUGGAACUGUAAGCCCAAUUAAACCUCUUCCCCCCACCCCAAUCUCAGGUAUGUCUUUAUCAGCAGCAUGAAAACAGACUAAUACAGCCCCCAACAUCUAAAAUCUUUUUCUCUCUCACCUUCAGCAACAGGGAAUAUUGUUGUGUAUGUAUAGAACAAUUGUAUUCUAAUUCAAAAUCUAGGCCUUGGCUAAGAGUAUGGUCCAACUUAGAACCAUGGACAUGAUAUAAAACUCCUCAUACCAAUAAACAGAAAGAUCCCAAACUGAAUGAAAAAAAAAAAAGACAAUCAAUAGAUGCCAACACUGAGAUGAGAAAGAUUUGAAAGCACCCAAUAAAGAUGCUUUGAUGGGCAAUUAAUAACACUUUUGAAACAUUAAAAGAAAACAUAAAGGCUCAAACAAUGAAAUGGAAGACAAAGUUUAGAACAGAAAGAUAUGAUAACCAAAUAAAAAGUUCAACGGAUGGGCUUUCCACAGAAUGGAAGGGACAAAAGAGUCAGUGAACUGAAAGAACAACAGAAACCACCCAAUCUGAACAACAACAAAAAUACACUGGGAAAAAAAAAGCAUAGUCUCAAGGACCCGCAGGACUAUAAAACAUGUGUCAUGGCACUGGAGUUCUACAAGGAGAGAGGAAAGAGCAGGACUUAAAAGGUAUUCAAAGAAGUAACAGCCAAACAUAAGCCAAAUUUAACAAGCUACAUCAAGAUUCAAGACCUGAACAAGCUCCAAAGAGGAUAAGCCCCUCCAAAAAUCAAUGAGACACGUUAUAAUUAAACUUAGGAAAACUGAAGAGAAAAAUCUUGAAAACAGCCAGGAAAAAAAAAAAAAUGACACCUUACUCACAGGGGGAAAUCAGUCUGAAUAACAGGGGAUUUGUGAUCAGAAACAAUGGAGGCUACCUGGAAGUGGCACAAUAUUUUUUAGAUGCCAAAAGAAAAGAACAGUCACCCCAGAACCCUAGACUCAGCAAAAUGCCACCUUCAAAAAUAAAGGAGAAAUGAAGACAUUCUCAGAUGAAGGAACACUAAGAAUUUGUCAUCAGCAGACUUACCCUAAAAGAAUGGUUAAAGGAAACUUUCUAAACAGAGGAAAUGAUAAAAGGAACCCUGAAACGUCAUAAAGGAAGAAAGAACAUGCCAAUUUCCUCCAUGUCUUUUACGGAAGAUUCUGUCCGUCCCUCUGGUUUAUGGUGGCACCUCUCCCCAUGAGAUCAAGCUUUCAAGUGUCCCAGGUGGAGCCAGACAGCCUAGGUGCAAACAGUGUCCCUGCCACUUAGCAGCGCUAUGAUUUUGGGCAAGUGCCUCUGUUUCUUUAUAUACAAAAUGGUGUAAUAGCAUCUGCUUCAUAGACUAUCAGGAGAUAACUUGAGUUUAUGACUGCUCAGGCUGCCUGGGACAGGGUAAAUGCCCAUCAGCGUUGCCUCCGUCUGUUAGGCUGGUCUUAUGCUAAGAGCCAUGAAAAUGUUAAUGGGGUGGCUUGUAGUUUUGUACUGAUAAGCCAAUCUCCAUUCAUUAGGGAUUACCUUAUCAAUACUAAGCUACUAGCCACCCCCAUUUUUAUUUUUCUAGAAACAUAGCUAUUUUCAUCUGUUUAUUAUUUUAGAUAAACUCUGGAACCAUUUUAUCAAGAGUAUCACUUGUGCUUUCAAUAUGGGUUGUGAUAUGGUUCUAAUCACUACUUAAGGCAGAAUAAAGAUCAGCAAGAAAGAAGGACAUAUGAGAGGAGGCAACAUCUACAAGCAAAGAGACUGGAGUGGUUUUUGGCAUUUGAGCACUGUGAUGGCUUGUUGAUGCAUUAACUUGGCUACGCCAAACAACAGUUCCCGGUAAUUCAUAAGGUACUGCUGCGAAGAGAUUUUAUAGAAACGAUUCAAGUCCCUAAUUAGUUGACUUUAAGUCAAAUCAAAAGAGAAUUCAUCUAGGUGGGCCUGGUCUACUCAGGCAGACUUGUAAAUGAUGGCUUAGGCCUUCUCAGCUCAGAGACUCCAAACAGCACAUGCCUGUGGGCUUCCGGUUUGUUCCUGAUAGUCCCUUCCUAACUACCUGCUCUACAGACUUCAGACUUUCUUUGCAAGCCCAAUUGUAUAAGGUAACUCCUUCCAAGAAAUCUCUGAAUGUGUGCAUAUGUGGACACAUAUAUAUAAACAUUCGCCUCCCAUAUAUAUGUAUAAUCACCUACUGCUUUUGGUUCUCUGGUUACAAGCAUUAAAACAGAAUUUGAAAUACACACACACACAUUCUUAAAUACAUAAGUCAUCCGGCACUAGACAAGGAUGCCCUCUUUCACCACUCCUAUUCAAUAUAGUUCUGGAAGUUCUAGCCAGAGCAAUCAGCCAAGAAAAAGAAAUAAAGGGUAUUCAAAUAGGAAAGGUGGAAGCCAAAUUGUCUCUAUUUGCAGACGACAUGAUAGUAUACCUAGAAGACCCCAUUGCCUCAGCCCAAAAACUCCUGACACUGAUAAGCAACUUCAGCAAAGUCUCAGGAUAUAAAAUCAAUGUGCAAAAAUCACAAGCAUUCGUCUACACCAAUAACAGACUUAAAGAGAGCCAAAUCAAGAAUGAACUGCCAUUCACAAUUGCUACAAAAAGAAUAAAAUACCUAGGAAUACAACUUACAAGGAAUGUAAGGGACCUCUUCAAGGAAAACUACAAAUCACUGCUCAAUGAAAUAAGAGAGGAUACAAACAGAUGGAGAAACAUUCCAUGUUCAUGGUUAGGAAGAAUUAAUAUCGUGAAAAUGGCUAUACUGCCCAAAGUAAUUUACAGAAUCAAUGCUAUCCCCAUCAAGCUACCAUUGACUUUCUUCACAGAACUGGAAAAAACCACCAUGAACUUUAUAUGGAACCAAAAGAGAGCCCACAUAGCCAAGUCAAUUCUAAGCAAAAAGAACACAGCGGGGGGCCUCACAUUACCAGACUUCAAACUAUACUACAAGGCUACAGUAAUCAAAACAGCAUGGUACUGGUACCAAAACAGAGAUCUAGACCAAUGAAACAGAACAGAGGCAUUGGAGGCAACACAACAUAUCUACAACUAUACAAUCUUUGAUAAACCUGACAAAAACAAGCAAUGGGGAAAGGAUUCCCUGUUUAACAAAUGGUGUUGGCAAAACUGGCUAGCCAUGUGCAGAAAGCAGAAACUGGACCCCUUCCUGACACCUUACACUAAAAUUAACUCCAGAUGCAUUAAAGACUUCAACAUAAGACCUGGCACCAUAAAAACCCUAGAAGAAAAUCUAGGCAAAACCAUUCAGGACAUAGGAGUAGGCAAGGACUUCAUGACCGAAACACCAAAAGCAUUGGCAACAAAAGCCAGAAUAGACAAAUGGGACCUAAUCAAACUCCACAGCUUCUGCACGGCAAAAGAAACAGUCACUAGAGUGAAUCGCAACCAAAAGAAUGGGAAAAAAUUUUUGCAGUUUACCCAUCUGACAAAGGGCUGAAAUCCAGAAUUUACAAAGAACUCAAACAGAUUUACAGGAAAAAAACAAACAAGCCCAUUCAAAAAUGGGCAAAGGAUAUGAACAGACACUUUACAAAAGAAGACAUACAUGAGGCCAACAAACAUAUGAAAAAAUGCUCAUCAUCACUGGUCAUUAGAGAGAUGCAAAUCAAAACCACAUUGAGAUACCAUCUCACGCUAGUUAGAAUGGCAAUCAUUAAAAAAUCUGGAGACAACAGAUGCUGGAGAGGAUGUGGAGAAAUAGGAACACUUUUACACUGUUGGUGGGAGUAUGAAUUAGUUCAACCAUUGUGGAAGACAGUGUGGCGAUUCCUCAAGGCCUUAGAAAUAGAAAUUCCAUUUGACCCAGCAAUCCCGUUACUGGGUAUAUAUCCAAAGGACUAUAAAUCCUUCUACUAUAAGGACACAUGCACACAAUGUUCACUGCAGCACUGUUUACAAUAGCAAAGACCUGGAACCAACCCAAAUGCCCAUCGAUGAUAGACUGGAUUGGGAAAAUGUGGCACAUAUACACCAUGGAAUAUUAUGCAGCAAUCAAAAAUGAUGAGUCUCUGUCCUUUAUAGGGACAUGGUUGAAUCUGGAGAACAUCAUUCUCAGCAAACUGACACAAGAACAGAAAAUGAAAUACCGCAUAUUCUCACUUAUAGGCGGGUGAGGAAAAA